rnacentral:rRNA from 1 species
AUUGAACGCUGGCGGCAUGCCUUACACAUGCAAGUCGAACGGCAGCACGGGUGCUUGCACCUGGUGGCGAGUGGCGAACGGGUGAGUAAUACAUCGGAACAUGUCCUGUAGUGGGGGAUAGCCCGGCGAAAGCCGGAUUAAUACCGCAUACGAUCUACGGAUGAAAGCGGGGGACCUUCGGGCCUCGCGCUAUAGGGUUGGCCGAUGGCUGAUUAGCUAGUUGGUGGGGUAAAGGCCUACCAAGGCGACGAUCAGUAGCUGGUCUGAGAGGACGACCAGCCACACGGGGACUGAGACACGGCCCAGACUCCUACGGGAGGCAGCAGUGGGGAAUUUUGGACAAUGGGCGAAAGCCUGAUCCAGCAAUGCCGCGUGUGUGAAGAAGGCCUUCGGGUGGUAAAGCACUUUUGUCCGGAAAGAAAUCCUUGGCCCUAAUACGGUCGGGGGAUGACGGGACCGGAAGAAUAAGCACCGGCUAACUACGG